rnacentral:misc_RNA from 1 species
GAUGAAGAACGUAGCGAAAUGCGUUAAGUAAUGUGAAUUGCAGAAUUCAGUGAAUCAUCGAAUCUUUGAACGCACAUUGCGCCCGCCAGCAUUCUGGCGGGCAUGCCUGUUCGAGCGUCAUUUCAACCCUCGAGCCCCCCCGGGGGCCUCGGUGUUGGGGGACGGCACACCAGCCGCCCCCGAAAUGCAGUGGCGACCCCGCCGCAGCCUCCCCUGCGUAGUAGCACACACCUCGCACCGGAGCGCGGAGGCGGUCACGCCGUAAAACGCCCAACUUUCUUAGAGUUGACCUCGGAUCAGGUAGGAAUACCCGCUGAACUUAAGCAUAUCAAUAAGCGGAGGA